rnacentral:rRNA from 1 species
GACGAACGCUGGCGGCGUGCUUAACACAUGCAAGUCGAACGGAAAGGCCCUGCUUGCAGGGUGCUCGAGUGGCGAACGGGUGAGUAACACGUGGGUGAUCUGCCCCUUAUUUUGGGAUAAGCCUGGGAAACUGGGUCUAAUACUGGAUAGGACCAUGCUGUAGGUGGUGUGGUGGAAAGAUUAGUUUCGGUAAGGGAUGAGCUCGCGGCCUAUCAGCUUGUUGGUGGGGUAAUGGUCUACCAAGGCGUCGACGGGUAGCCGGCCUGAGAGGGUGGACGGCCACAUUGGGACUGAGAUACGGCCCAGACUCCUACGGGAGGCAGCAGUGGGGAAUAUUGCACAAUGGGCGCAAGCCGGAUGCAGCGACGCCGCGUGGGGGAUGACGGCCUUCGGGUUGUAAACUCCUUUCAGCCAUGACGAAGCCCUUGUGGUGACGGUAGUGGUAGAAGAAGCACCGGCUAACUACGUG